GGUCUUAUGGCGCAAUUGGUUAGCGCGUCCGGCUGUUAUAGUGUUGUCAUCUGACAAGGCAAUAAGGCACCGGGAGGUCGGAAGUUCGAGCCUUCCUAGGACCG